GGUUUGAUUAUGGCUCAGAUUGAACGCUGGCGGCAUGCCUUACACAUGCAAGUCGGACGGCAGCGCGGGGGCAACCCUGGCGGCGAGUGGCGAACGGGUGAGUAAUACAUCGGAACGUGUCCUGUAGUGGGGGAUAGCCCGGCGAAAGCCGGAUUAAUACCGCAUACGACCUAAGGGAGAAAGCGGGGGAUCUUCGGACCUCGCGCUAUAGGGGCGGCCGAUGGCAGAUUAGCUAGUUGGUGGGGUAAAGGCCUACCAAGGCGACGAUCUGUAGCUGGUCUGAGAGGACGACCAGCCACACUGGRACUGAGACACGGCCCAGACUCCUACGGGAGGCAGCAGUGGGGAAUUUUGGACAAUGGGGGCAACCCUGAUCCAGCAAUGCCGCGUGUGUGAAGAAGGCCUUCGGGUUGUAAAGCACUUUUGUCCGGAAAGAAAACUUCGCUCCUAAUAUGGGUGGAGGAUGACGGUACCGGAAGAAUAAGCACCGGCUAACUACGUGCCAGCAGCCGCGGUAAUACGUAGGGUGCGAGCGUUAAUCGGAAUUACUGGGCGUAAAGCGUGCGCAGGCGGUCUGUURAGACCGAUGUGAAAUCCCCGGGCUUAACCUGGGAACUGCAUUGGUGACUGGCAGGCUUUGAGUGUGGCAGAGGGGGGUAGAAUUCCACGUGUAGCAGUGAAAUGCGUAGAGAUGUGGAGGAAUACCGAUGGCGAAGGCAGCCCCCUGGGCCAACACUGACGCUCAUGCACGAAAGCGUGGGGAGCAAACAGGAUUAGAUACCCUGGUAGUCCACGCCCUAAACGAUGUC
rnacentral:rRNA from 1 species